GACGAACGCUGGCGGCGUGCUUAACACAUGCAAGUCGAACGGAAAGGCCCUGCUUGCAGGGUGCUCGAGUGGCGAACGGGUGAGUAACACGUGGGUGAUCUGCCCCUUACUUUGGGAUAAGCCUGGGAAACUGGGUCUAAUACUGGAUAGGACCAUGCUGUAGGUGGUGUGGUGGAAAGAUUAGUUUCGGUAAGGGAUGAGCUCGCGGCCUAUCAGCUUGUUGGUGGGGUAAUGGCCUACCAAGGCGUCGACGGGUAGCCGGCCUGAGAGGGUGGACGGCCACAUUGGGACUGAGAUACGGCCCAGACUCCUACGGGAGGCAGCAGUGGGGAAUAUUGCGCAAUGGGCGCAAGCCUGAUGCAGCGACGCCGCGUGGGGGAUGACGGCCUUCGGGUUGUAAACUCCUUUCAGCCAUGACGAAGCCCUUGUGGUGACGGUAGUGGUAGAAGAAGCACCGGCUAACUACGUG
rnacentral:rRNA from 1 species